UCUGUUUUAGUUUAUUAAAAAUGUUGUAUUGUGGUUACAGAGAUAAGAUUUUGUCUUAAAUGGA
rnacentral:tRNA from 1 species